rnacentral:lncRNA from 1 species
CCUGUGUGUGUGUGUGUGUGUGUGUGUGUGUGUGUGUGUGUGUGUGUGUGUGUGUGUGUGUGUGUGUGUGUGUGUGUGUGUGUGUGUGUGUGUGUGUGUGUGUGUGUGUGUGUGUGUGUGUGUGUGUGUGUGUGUGUGUGUGUGUGUGUGUGUGUGUGUGUGAAACAAAAAUAGAUACUCUUUGGUUCCUUUUCAACCUGGCUAACCUGAAUGAUUAUGUUCGUUGGUUCAAUAGGUGUGUCUACUCUAUACAGGUGACUUUGAGCUUUGGACCGUGCCCUGAUAGGUCUGCUCCUUUAAGAAAUGGUUAAUGUUGUCCGGAAGCUACGAGCACAAGGCAACAGUGGAGAAGUUUGCGAAGCAGGCGAAAGUGAAUUACAGUCGUACUUGCGUUCCUAUACAACGAAGUUUGCAAUUGAGCAAGACUACUCGGCAUCGUCAGUUUCUCUCCGGACAGCGUUCGUAUUUACUUUUCUAAAAGAAACAGUAGGCGAUCUUAGGUGAUUGAAGAUGACUUUGAAUAAUGCAUUAGAGCGCGUGAGGAGUUGACAUUCUAAAUACUUUGGGAAAUUGAUGUUCAAAUGUAUAGUAACGCCUGAUGAGAUUUCUCUCGCAAACAUUAGCGUUUGUUAGAAAUAGCAGUGGACAAAUAAAUAACUUUCACGUCAGAAUAUUCGGGGACAUCCGCCAUAACUUGUCAUAUCGUUUAAAAUUCAACAGAGUGGCAUUGAACAUUUUUGAACAUGACCGGAACAACAUGUCACCUAAUACCUCGGCAUCCAGGACUGGAGUCCAGGGGAAUGGGCCUAACAAUAGGCAGGUAGCCUAUAUCUCUUGGGAGAAAAGACUGCAUGUUAUACGAUGAUGUUCUUUGCUGUGGUUUACACCUAAAGGAAUUACAUACAAGCUGGACCUCAUUCUGUACUGAGAAGCCUCUUCUUUUGAGGCUUUGUGAUAAACACAUCAUGAACACACAAAAUAACAGCACAUACAGUUCGCCAGGGCAGCUCUAGCACCGCAGAAAUUUGACGAACUGACUUGUUGGAAAGGUGGCAUCCUAUGACAGUGCCACGUUGAAAGUCACUGAGCUCUUCGGCGCGGGCCAUUCUACUGCCAAUGUUUGUCUAUGGAGAUUGCAUGGAUGUGUGCUCGGUUUUAUACACCUGUCAACAACUGGUGUGGGCUGGAGUAGCCGAAUGCACUAAUUUGAAGUGUUGUCCACAUUUUUGUGUAUAUAGGCCUAUGGAUGGGGUUUACCUAGGUUUAAUGCCCAUCAGUUACCUAAGUAAAUUUGUUGUUACAGCCUGAACUUAAAAUGGAUUCAAUUGAGAUUUGUCACUGGCCUAUACAAAAUAUACCCCAUAAUGUCAAAGUGGAAUUAUGUUUUUUGAAAUUGUUUACAAAUAAAUGCAAAAUGAAAAGUUGAAAUGUCUUGAUUCGAUAAGUAUUCAACCCCUUAGUUAUAGCAAGCCUAAAUAAGUUCAGGAUGGUGGCUGCCUCAUGUUAUGGGUAUGCUUGUAAUCAUUAAGGACUGGGGAGUUUUUCAGCAUAAAAAAGAAAUGGAAUGGAGUUAAUAAGCACAGGCAAAAUCCCAAAGGAAAACCUGGUUCAGUCUGCUUUCCACCAGACACUGGGAGAUGGAUUCACCUUUCAGCAGGACAAUAACCUUAAACACAAGGCGACAUCUACAAUGGAGUUGCUUACCAAGAAGACAGUGAAUUUUCCUGAGUGGGUGAGUUAGUUUUCACACAUCUACUUGAAAAUCUAUGGCAAGACCUGAAAAUGGUUGUCUAGCAAUGAUAAACCACCAAUUUGAGAGCUUAAUGGGCAAGUGUUGCACAAUCCAGGUGUGGAAAGCUCUUAGACUUACCCAGAAAGACUCACAGCUGUAAUUGCUGCCACGGUGUUUCAACAAACUAUUGACUUAGGUGUGUGUACAUACUUUUCUGUAUUUCAUUUUCAAUAAAUUUGCAAUCAUUUUGAAAAGCAUGUUUUCACUUUGGUAUUGUGUGUAGAUGGGUGAGGAUUCCGGCUGUAACACAACAACAUGUGGAAUAAGUCAAAGGGUCUGAAUACUUUCUGAAGGCACUGUAAGGGAAUACUGCCAUUUGGGACGCAACUCCAUUCUACUCGAAGUCUCUCUGAUCUCAUGUCCUCUUCCUGUCUUGCUCUUGAGCAUGUUGCUAACUGACUGACUGCUGUAUAUGUAGGACUCGAUGCUCAUUAGGCCUGUUUUCAUGAACUAAUUUCAGACGGCGUUGUUGUCGGUCCAAGUUCAAGGUAGAAUACCAAGACCAAUAAACUAGUGCUAUGUUAUUCCUCCUUAUUUGGCAGGUACUGUAGUGUAGGUAUAACAGUACCUGCCAAAAUAAAGAACUACUCUGCAGCCUAAUUACAUAGACUCCCUCCUAUUAUAUUUGAGCUUUAUGUUGUUGUACUACUUCACACUUGGAAGUGGUCUUGAAGGCUAAUUACUUUUCUCCUUUCCUGUGUGUUUGUGUCAGUAGCUCGUUCUCAUCUCUGACUGAGGUCAUCAUUCUUGAUCAGUAUAGGGGAAUGGGAUGGGUGGCUGGGCUGGGGUGAUGAGGGCCAUACUAUUGCCAGUAUUUACCUUCCCUUUCUGAUAUGAUUUUAUUACUAAGGAAUGGGUGGUGCAGUCACUACUCACCCAGCCUUGACUCUCCAUAGUAACUGGAGAAGAUUGUGGGUACGUCCCAAAUGGCACCCUAUUCUCUAUAUAGUGCACACAUUUUGAUCAGGGCCCCAUCCUAUGGUGCAGUUUUGCAAACAAUAUGAUGCUUCUACCACUGAUGAUGUUUCUACCACUGAACUAGAAUGAGAUUCUAUUUCUAUGUUUGUACCCUAAGCAACUGUACUGUCAGGUUAGGAAAGCACCACAAGCAUGCAGUGAAGUAGCAGUAAAUACUUUUUUGUUUUGUUUUUUUGCUCUUUAACAGCCAGUCAAGAAGUGAUGUCAAUCUGCCUCGCUGAAUUUCCAUGUUAUGAUGUCUGCAAAUGAUUUUUAUUUUUUAUUUUCUGGACUAUUAAAAUGUAUCCUUUGUUUGUUUACUGUCAGAAUUUAUCUGACAAUCUUAUGGGAUAUAAAUGAUUGCUAAAAAACCCCCUUUUUUUUUUCUCUCAAAGACGAAUAUAAAGUUACCAGGAUAAUAACUUUAAUAAAAC